rnacentral:rRNA from 1 species
UACAGAGGUCUCGAGCGUUGUUCGGAUUCAUUGGGCGUAAAGGGUGCGUAGGUGGCGGGGGUAAGUCAGGUGUGAAAUCUCGGAGCUCAACUCCGAAACUGCACUUGAUACUGCCUUGCUCGAGUACUGGAGAGGAGAUUGGAAUUUACGGUGUAGCAGUGAAAUGCGUAGAUAUCGUAAGGAAGACCAGUGGCGAAGGCGAAUCUCUGGACAGUUACUGACACUGAGGCACGAAGGCCAGGGGAGCAAACGGG